rnacentral:rRNA from 1 species
AUUGAACGCUGGCGACAGGCCUAACACAUGCAAGUCGAACGGUAACAGGAAGCAGCUUGCUGCUUUGCUGACGAGUGGCGGACGGGUGAGUAAUGUCUGGGAAACUGCCUGAUGGAGGGGGAUAACUACUGGAAACGGUAGCUAAUACCGCAUAACGUCGCAAGACCAAAGAGGGGGACCUUCGGGCCUCUUGCCAUCGGAUGUGCCCAGAUGGGAUUAGCUUGUUGGUGGGGUAACGGCUCACCAAGGCGACGAUCCCUAGCUGGUCUGAGAGGAUGACCAGCCACACUGGAACUGAGACACGGUCCAGACUCCUACGGGAGGCAGCAGUGGGGAAUAUUGCACAAUGGGCGCAAGCCUGAUGCAGCCAUGCCGCGUGUAUGAAGAAGGCCUUCGGGUUGUAAAGUACUUUCAGCGGGGAGGAAGGGAGUAAAGUUAAUACCUUUACUCAUUGACGUUACCCGCAGAAGAAGCACCGGCUAACUCCGUG